AUUAUUUGACCCAUGGAAAUUAUGACUAUUUAUGUUUUCUAAGUUGGUGUUUAGCUUUGCUUGAAGCUUCAAGAAAAGUUAAUUUCAGAGAUCUCUUAAGACAAGGCUUGCAUCUAGAAGGUUUAAUAAGUGGACAUAUAUACUCAAUGCUUACUCAAAUUUGCGUAUAAAAAAGCUUAUGAAUUUUAAGGAGAAAGAUGGCUUUUCAUUUUGAUUGGUGAUGAACUGGACUAA